GGGUGGGUCAAUGGGUCAAUCAAAUUUCCACUCUGCUCUUCUUCGCUCCCUGCCAGGCCAUUAGCUUGCCAAGCUUCCUAGAACAGCAAGCCCAGCUGGAGCUCCUGGCUAGGAGAGUCACCUUGCUGGAAGCUAUCAUCUGGCCAGAACCAGAUCUGGGAUCCGGCUUUGAUCCGGCCGCUACGGGGGUCCCCGGCGACGAUCGGAGUAAGCGCAGCGAGUAUUUGGCAGCCUACCGGGUGAACUCGCACCGUCUUUCUCAGAAGGGAGAGGAGAGGAAGAAAUGAAGGAGACUCUGCCCACCAUCAGGCGAAGAAGAGGGCCACGUCUGGAUUGAGGGACCUCCGAUGUGGAAGGAGCACCGCGGUCCUUUCUCCUCCUCCCUCUGCCUUGGACCGGUGGUGAUGGAGACACGGGCUGUUCGAUGAACCAAGCUGUGGACAAGGCCCUGCUAACAAAUCCUCCGUUGUAUUUAUUUGUUCUUUUCACACAGGGGGUUUGUGGAACAAAUAGGAAUAGGUGUUAUGGGGGUCUAUGCUUAUGCGGGGGGGGAGAGUGGGGGUCUCGGCUUGGCUGUCACUCGCCAGAGAUUCCCUCCUUGUGGUCAGAUUGGGCCGCAAUUUGGCAAGGACUGGUCCAACACAUCCAGCCUUUUGCCACCUUCUCCUCCGUGGUGGCAUCUCUCCGGCACGUCCUCAGAGGCUCCAGAUGCCGAGAGGUUGUUUUUUUUUUCUCGCUGCUCAUGCUUUGAAUUUCAAUUUUAUCCUUUUUUUUUUUCAAAUUUUCUCUUUUUCAAUCCAGAAAAUAAAACAAAACCCCCGUCAUUCUGUAUUCCGUAAAGCUGUAUUUCUCAAUCCUGGGAACUUUUAAUUGGGGGGGAGGAUUCUGGGAGUCGAAGUCUUAAAAAAGUUCCCAAGGUUGAGAAACACCCCAAAUGGAUGGAGAUGCAGUGGGAAUUCAAUCCAUCUGAUCACAGACACACACAGAGCAGCUGAGCAAAAUCGGAGCCUCCCCGUCUCUACUCCCUUAGGAGCAGGGAUUUCAAAAGUGCUUUUCCGGAGUCAGAUGAGAAAGCAUCUUCUGGCACUUACUGGAUAAACCGACUGAUUGUUGCCCAAAUUCUGAGGCGUGUCGUGGAAGGAAACCAGAAUCUGUAAAAAAAAAGCUUACAUGGGAUUAAGACGGGAGUCUUUAUUGAUGAUCCCAACUUUUUUGAAAUUUGUAUACAGUAUUUCUUCCUUUAUUGUGUUUUUUUGGACAAGAUUUGGGGAGGGACGGUGGCGAAGGUGAGGAUUGCUGGCUUCUCCUUUCCAGCAUCAGUCAACAAUUUUGAGGGGCGGGGUGAAGAAAAAUAUAUAUAUUUUCUUCUGUUUAAAGAACAGCCUUUGUACCCUC